UACGAAGGGGGCUAGCGUUGUUCGGAUUUACUGGGCGUAAAGCGCACGUAGGCGGAUCUUUUAAGUCAGGGGUGAAAUCCCAGAGCUCAACUCUGGAACUGCCUUUGAUACUGGGGAUCUCGAGUUCGGGAGAGGUGAGUGGAACUGCGAGUGUAGAGGUGAAAUUCGUAGAUAUUCGCAAGAACACCAGUGGCGAAGGCGGCUCACUGGCCCGAUACUGACGCUGAGGUGCGAAAGCGUGGGGAGCAAACAGG
rnacentral:rRNA from 1 species